CGCGCGCGUGCGCAGGACUUCCUGAGCGGCCCCCGGGCUCCUCCCUGGCCUGGAGCGUGAGGGAAAACUGGGUCUGGUUAUUACAGCGCAACGGAGCUGGAGUCCAUGCCGCACAACCAGUUACCUACGGUCCAAAACAUGCCAAAGUUUUCCGGGCUUUCGCGCCCACCCGCAUCGCCAGUUUUCCGGCGCCAGAAAGCCCGGGAGCCACGUGGGACGGCCCCUUGUGGGGUGGGGAAAGGGGAGGAGCUAGUGUCCCUGAGUCGUGGGCAGGUAAGAGGGUGGGUGGAGACCCGUGUUCGCAGCUGUUGUCGCUGAGGCCGCAGUCGUCUUUCCAGGCCUACAGGAUUUGGCUUCCAGCCCCUGCUGCCUUUAUCAGCUGUCUGAGCUUAGCAUGUUACUUUACCGCUAUCCCAAUACCUUCAUUUGUAAAUGGACAGGGUUCCUUUUGUUCUUUUAUUUUGUUUGUGUUUAAAAAUGUGUAAUGCAGAAGAAUGUAAUUGAACCCUUACCUUACACCGCGUAUAAAAAUUAACGCAAAAUGAAUCAAAGACCUAACUAUAAAGGCUAAAAUUAAAACUCUUAGAAGAAAACAGAGCAAAAACUUCAUAACAUUGGACUUGGUAUGAUUUCUUGGAUAUGAUACCAAAAGCAGUUUGGGAUGAUGAAAACGUUCUGGAAAUAGUGGUGGAUGGAUGCACAAGGUGAAGAUGGAGUCUUGCUCUGUCACCCAGGCUGGAGUGCAAUGGCACAAUCUUGGUGGGGGGGACUAUCUUUUCUGGAAUUUUAGGAUCCCUCCUCAG
rnacentral:lncRNA from 1 species